UACGUAGGGCGCAAGCGUUGUCCGGAAUUAUUGGGCGUAAAGAGCUCGUAGGCGGUUUGUCGCGUCUGUCGUGAAAGCUUGGGGCUUAACCCCAAGUCUGCGGUGGAUACGGGCAGACUAGAGUGAUGUAGGGGAGACUGGAAUUCCUGGUGUAGCGGUGAAAUGCGCAGAUAUCAGGAGGAACACCGAUGGCGAAGGCAGGUCUCUGGGCAUUAACUGACGCUGAGGAGCGAAAGCAUGGGGAGCGAACAGG
rnacentral:rRNA from 1 species